CACGUAGGGCGCAAGCGUUGUCCGGAAUUAUUGGGCGUAAAGAGCUCGUAGGUGGUUUGUUACGUCCGCUGUGAAAUCCUAGGGCUUAACCCUGGGCUUGCAGUGGAUACGGGCAGACUAGAGGUAGGUAGGGGAGAAUGGAAUUCCUGGUGUAGCGGUGAAAUGCGCAGAUAUCAGGAGGAACACCGGUGGCGAAGGCGGGUCUCUGGGCCGAUACUGACACUGAGAAGCGAAAGCGUGGGGAGCGAACAGG
rnacentral:rRNA from 1 species